ensembl:ncRNA R09F10.18 ncRNA
UUGAGUUUGUUGUGGCUGAGCGCAAGAGCAGGAUGGUGCUUGUUGUUGAACUGGAGCAGAUUGGCACGAGCAAGAUUGGGUUUGUUGAACCUGUUGGCAAGAGCACUGACUCUGUUGUGGCUGAGCACACCCACAAUGUCUCUUUUCACGAA